CGUUUCGAAAGGAACGCUAAUACCGCAUACGUCCUACGGAGAAAGCAGGGACCUUCGGGCCUUGCGCUAUCAGAUGAGCCUAGGUCGGAUUAGCUAGUUGGUGAGGUAAUGGCUCACCAAGGCGACGAUCCGUAACUGGUCUGAGAGGAUGAUCAGUCACACUGGAACUGAGACACGGUCCAGACUCCUACGGGAGGCAGCAGAA
rnacentral:rRNA from 1 species